AAGGUGAAAGCAGGCAACGACACAGAGCUAUGAAGCCGCCAUGCCAUCCUAGAACAAUGUCAGGCAGGAGACAAGCAAGCAAGAAAUCGGAAAAAGCCUUCAAUUCACGUAUAGUAUUCCUCGGUUACUGGUGUCGAUCCCAACCAAUCAUAAACAGCUAUUUUGGGUUGGCCCAGAAAAUUGAAAUUGGGAGAUUGGACGCCAUUGAUUACAGUUUUAUCCCCCAAAUUCCCACUGUGUUUGAACCACAAAUUUCAAUUUUUUUUUUUAAUCUGUUGGUGGUGGCGCGAAGAAAUAGAGAAACCCAAGCACCAUGUCACUCGCAGCUCUCACUCUAUCGUCUCCUCUUACUGUCUCCACUACCACCAAACAAAAACCACGGCCUCCUCAUAAUCCUAAACCUAAAAUCACAUGCUCCUCCCUCACUACCCAAUCCCAAUCAGCCAAACAGCACCUCCUCAAUCUCAUCUCCGACCAGGAGCGGGGUCUCAAAACCCAAAACGACACUAACAAACGCGAUUCAAUAAUCAAAUCCAUUGAUGCCAUGGCCGUUCUGGGCCGCAAUACUGUCACCACAGGCGACUCCCUAUCCGCCACGUGGCGGCUUCUAUGGACUACGGAGAAAGAGCAGCUCUUCAUUAUAGAGAAAGCUUACCUCUUCGGUACUCAAGCCGGCGACGUUUUGCAGGUCAUAGACGUCGACAACAAGACUCUCAAUAACGUCAUUACCUUUCCACCCGACGGAGUUUUCUUCGUUCGGUCCAGCAUUGAAAUUGCGUCGUCUCAGAGAGUGAAUUUCAAGUUUACGAGUGCGGUUCUCAGGGGGAAAAACUGGGAGUUCCCAUUGCCUCCAUUUGGGCAGGGUUGGUUUGAAACUGUCUACCUUGAUGAUGAGAUACGAGUUGUGAAGGAUAUCAGGGAUGAUUAUUUAGUUGUCGAGCGUGCACCAUAUAACUGGAAAGAAUAAAGGGGAUGAACCUUGCCUCUCUUUGUAAUCAAAUGUGAAUGUUGCAUGGAUGGCCAUGCUUUCAAAUAUUUAUCUGAAAAAUUCAGGGCUUCUCCCCUGUUCUGAUGUAUGUUUAACAAUAUAUACCAUUUAUGUGAAUAUUUUCCCAACUACUACAACAAAAACAGAGCACAGCCUUAUAAGAGCUGAUGACUACAUGUUGAUGCUUGAGAAUCCCCCUUUUUUUUUUGUUAUAUUUUUGCUUCAUGCCCAUGGGAUUUUAAAUUCAAUUGAUUCACCAGGUGCAACAAUUUCAUAUCCAUUCAGCUAUCAACUCAAGUUAUCUUUCUUUUCCUUUUAUUAGACAUGUUUUCACACUUGCUGUACACAAUAUUCUACUUUACUCUCAAAUUUAUGAAACUUUCACUUCGAUUGCUUAUUUAUUUUCUUAGACCACCCUCAUGGAAACAUAUUUUGAUCUUUCUGUUUCAAGUAUGGACAUGUAUUAAUUGAUGAGUGAAUUAUCUGAGACUGCUUCUUUACUGAUUUCAUGGGCUUUUUCUCCUUCCAUUAUUUAGGGUCAUUUCAGGAAUUAGAGAAAGCAAUAACAUUUUUAAUCUUCCGCAUUUAAUUAUUAAUAAUUUUCUUUCUUACUUCUAGUUGGAGUUCAACUCCAGAUAAUUUUAUGCAAUGAGAUAUUCAGUUUCUAAAAAGUCAAGGUCCUAGUUGUGUACUUUUUGCCAGGUUUCUAAUGUUACUUGCCUUCAUUGAAAUGAUCCUCAAAAGAAGAUAUCUUCUUUCAAGAGUAAAUAUAUAAUCAGUAAAUGGUGGAUUAUAUGUCUGUGUGUCUGAUAUUUGUUAAAGUGCUUUUGUAACUCAAAGCCUUGCAGAAGAUACAUGAGAACAGCGGCUGGUUUGUUGAUGUAUAUUUCACAAUGUAGGCAUGAAGUUCUCUAGUUUCCUUUUUUGCUACAGGAAUUAUGGUGUUUAUAGGCUUAUACGAGUCCUAUUUAACUUGAAUUAAGUUUGACUUAAGCUAGGUUUUUGGUUCUCUACUGCUAAAACUUAAAAACUGCUCAAGCAUACGUGUUGGCUGUUGGGGUCACCUUCAUUCGCAUUUUAAGGACUUGUCUAUCAAAUGCCAAACGAGUGAUGGAAGGAAAAAUGUUAUAGAAAAUGGCUCAACCAUAGUCCAGCCCGGACUGAAGGAUUAAGAAACAUGCCACACGAGCACCCAUGCAUCUCUCCAGGUGUUUGCAGUCGAUGCUGCCAAUGAUUAGUUGCAAAACACGGGGCUUUCUAUCACACUGCUCAAACCAUGGCUGAUUUCCAUUUUGCUCGUUUUGUACCUUUCCAGUGCAACUGGUUGCAACAACUUAGAUGCUAGUGCAAUUAACAAAGUGAAGAUCAUAAACAGAUAAUUGACUGAAUCUUACUUUUUGUUCUCAUUGUAUGUUUAAAUAUUUUAGCCGAUUUACUGACUGCAGGAUUCAAAAGCAGGAUCCAAAAGGCUUCCGAAUGGAUAACUUUAAAUAA